rnacentral:snRNA from 1 species
AUGCUGACUUUGGCAGUACUUAUACUAAAAACUGGAAUGACACAGAAAAGGUAAGCACAGCCCCUUAAGCAAGGAUGACAGGAAAAUUGGUGUUCCAAAAUCAG